CUCUAGGGUUAAUACCCCUAGACGAUGACAUUAGCUGCAGAAUAAGCACCGGCUAACUCUGUGCCAGCAGCCGCGGUAAUACAGAGGGUGCAAGCGUUAAUCGGAAUUACUGGGCGUAAAGCGAGCGUAGGUGGCUUGAUAAGUCAGAUGUGAAAUCCCCGGGCUUAACCUGGGAACUGCAUCUGAAACUGUUAGGCUAGAGUAGGUGAGAGGAAGGUAGAAUUCCAGGUGUAGCGGUGAAAUGCGUAGAGAUCUGGAGGAAUACCGAUGGCGAAGGCAGCCUUCUGGCAUCAUACUGACACUGAGGUUCGAAAGCGUGGGUAGCAAACAGGAUUAGAUACCCUGGUAGUACACGCCGUAAACGAUGUC
rnacentral:rRNA from 1 species